GGUACUUAACGGUAUCCGCUUCCUGCUCGAAGCUGUUACCCACCGGAUUCCAAGGUUCCUACGCCUUAGAACACCGGGCAAAGAACCCGCCUAAAGGCGGGUUUUUUGUUUUC
rnacentral:misc_RNA from 2 species